CUCUCUCUCUCUCUCUCUCUCUCUCUAUCUCCCUCGCCGCUCUUCACUAUCUCUCUCAAUCUCAAUCUCACGCCCGUCAAAACCCCUUUCUCAUUCCCUCGCUCUCCCCCUCCCUUUCUCAUUCCCUCGCUCUCCGGGUUUGCAUGUGAUGAUUCCAAUAGAGAAGAUGCAGUGGCAGAGGUUCAAGGGGGUUUUAAUGGUGGACGCGGAAAGGAUUUUGGGGGCUGUCAGAUUUGGGCGAUGGCCUGACCUGAUGGGUUUGUGGGGACUACAAUGAGGGUGGAUUCGGCCUGAUUAGAUUGCAAUGGGCGACAUCUAUGGUCGAGGGUUGGAUGAGGACAGAGGUUUUCAGCGAUUGCGACUAAGGAGAGAUGGGUUUUCAGUUUUCAAUGAGGGGACAGUGGUGGGUUUCGAUGAGCGGAGAUGAUAGGUCUGAGUUGAUGCCGAAUCUGUAACCCAAUCGGAUCAGAGAUGGUGACAGAUUUGAGCAAAUGUCAGAUUUGGUGAGUGAAGAUGAAGAACCGAGCUCGAGCAGUGCCAUUACUUCAGAAGGUGAUGUCAGUGGCUAUUAACAUGCUGCUAUAUCUACAUAGUAUUUGGUCUAUCAAGUUCGUCCAUAGUUCCACAAGGCAUUUGUCCACCUUGGUCGCCUGAUGUUUAUAAGGCUGCAUGUAAUCUGUUGAAGGUGAGCCUGUUUCUGGUGCCUGCAUUUAGAAAUUAGCAUUUCACUCUUGAAAUGUGUUGUUCUGGUAUUGAUGUUGAGCCUGUUGAUGCUUAUGUUAUCUUUACAGGACCCAACCGAGCAAACUGGCAUUGAUAACUUCAUGGUACAACAACUUGAUGGAACAGUUAAUGAGUGGGGCUGGUGCAAGCAAAAGGUAUCAUGGUUGUUCCUCAUUUAUUUUUAUUUUAUAGGAGUUUAUGAUCCUUCCUGUUGGGGCAUCCACUUUCAAGGAAGCCAUGAAGAUGGGUGUCGAAGUAUAUCACCAUUUGAAGGCAAGCUUUUAUUUUGCUUAACAACUUCAAAAAUUGUCCAUUUAGGUCUCAACUACAAACUUUGAUUCCCACUUCUCCUUCAGGCUAUGAUUAAGAAAAAAU